AUGGUUGGCAAUAAGGGCGAAUGGUGGAUGCCUAGACAUCAAAAGGCGAUGAAGGACGUGGCGUAGCAACGAUACGCCCCGGGGAGGUGCGUAGCAACCUGCGAUCCGGGGAUUUCCGAAUGGGGAAACCCAAUUGAGCAAACCUCAAUUUUUCGGCGUAAGCCGAAAGCAAACCCGCUGAAGUAAAACAUUCCAGUAAGCGGAGGAAUAAAGAACAAACGUUAUUCCCUUAGUAUCGGCGAGAGAAAAGGGAAGAGCCCAAACUAAGCUCUAAGUUUUAGAGCUUGGGGUAAAAAGAAAAAAACUCUGUUCUUUGAAUCGCCGAGUUUCCGAUCCGCCGUCUGGCGGAGUCGGAGAUUUGGCGGUUUACGGAAUAAGGAGAAGUUACAAAUUUUUCGGUUAGUCGAAGCCCACUGGAAAGGGGCGCCAAAGACGGUGAUAGCCCGGUAGGCGAAAACCGGAGAACUUCUUAGUUUUUUUGCAGCAAGAGUUAAAUCAAGCUGCAUCUUGAGUACUUCGAGGUCAAACAGUCUCGAAGGAAUUUGCCAGUACUAUCUGGUAAGGCUAAAUACUUUUGAUGAUCGAUAGUGAACAAGUACCGUGAGGGAAAGGCGAAAAGCAGGCCGGUGAGGCCGUUGAAAUAGAACCUGAAACCAUUUGUCUACAAGGAACUGAAGUCCGAACGUUUUUUCGAGAGGAAGAACGAGGACAACAGUGUGCCUAUUGAAGAAUGAGCCAACGACUUAUUUUUGCAUUGCUCGUGUAAGUACCUAAAUGGUAUGUACGCAUAGGGAAACCGAGUCUUAAUAGGGCGAAAUAAAGCAGUGCAGUAUAGACCCGAAGCCAGAUGAGCUUGCCUUGGGCAGGGUGAAAGUUCGCGAAAGCGGACUGGAGGCCCGAACCGGUUGGUUGUUCAAAACCUUCGGAUGACCUGAGGUAAGGAGUGAAAAGCUAAUCGAAUCUGGUAAUAGCUGGUUCUCUCCGAAAUAGUUUUAGGACUAGCGGUGGAAGUUCCUCUUGGGGGUAGAGCACUGGAUGAUCUGUAAAGGCCGAAAGGCCGACAGAUCAAUCAAACUCCGAAUACCAAGAGUCAAAAUUCCAUUAGUCAGACUGUGGGGGCUAAGCUCCAUGGUCGCGAGGGCAACAGCCCAGAUCAUCAUCUAAGGUCCCUAAAUCCAUGCUAAGUGUUAAAGGUAGUGUGUCGCCAUAGACAGAUAGUAGGUUGGCUUAGAGGUAGCCAUCCUUUAAAGAGUGUGUAACAACUCACUAUUCGAUGGCGAUGUGCGCCGAAAAUGUACCGGGGCUAAGCAUGGUACCGAAGAUAUGAAUGCCAGUGCAUGGCACUGGAAAUUUCAAAUUCCAAGUAUUUAAUUUCCAAACGUUUGGAAAUUGUAUUUUUGGAGUUUGGAGCUUCCAAUGCUGUGCAUUGGUGUGGUAGGAGAGCAUUCGUAUUGCGUUGAAGCCCGACCCGCGAGGGCGCGUGGAGCGGUACGAAGAGCAAAUGUUGGCAUGAGUAACCACAAUCCCAAUGAGAAAUUGGAACCCCGAAAAUCCAAGGUUUCCGUGGCACUGGCAAUCAACCACGGGUUAGGCGGUCCUAAGGCAAUGGCGAAAGCCGCAGCUGAUGGUCAGACGGUUAAUAUUCCGUCCCUCCCGCAUAAUUACACAUAGUGUGCGAAGGAAAUAAAUCGAAGUGCCUUAUUGGUUUGGCAUCCGUGCUCUAAGGCUCCGGCCGGGAGAGCGGGAAUGCGGAGAAUUUACUCCGCAAACUUCGACGAAUAGCCUUCCGAGAAAAGCGCGGUGUUUAUGUUAUGUGGGAUCCGUACCGGAAACCGACACAGGUGGAUAGGGCGAGAAGCCCAAGGGGAACGAGUGAUUUGCCUCUAAGGAACUCGGCAAAAAAGCGGCCGUAAGUUAGCGAUAUGGCCUGCCCUUCUUCAUUGAAGGGCCGCAGCGAAAGUCUCUCUGGCGACUGUUUACCAAAAACACAGCUCCCUGCGAACUCGCAAGAGGAUGUAUAGGGGGUGACGCCUGACCGAUGCGAGAAGGUCAAGGCUGGGAGUGGUAUGUAGCAAUAUGUACUGCCCACCGGCUCAAGCCCUCGUCAAUGUCAGCGAUAACUAUAAUCGUUCUAAGGUGAAUGCGUUGCUUUAGUAAAACUCAACUAUAUGCUGGAAUAUCUGGAGAAUCCGAGACUACUAUGGUAUAAUACGUCCAUAGAUAUAUUAUGCCAGGUAAAAAAGUUUUCGGUGCAGACAAUCAGCAGGAAAGGCUAAAAAUGGCAAGUUGGAUUUCUGGAUUUACCGAUGGCGAAGGAAGCUUCGUAAUUUCGGUUAUCAAGAAUCCGACCACUCGAUUCGGCAAGCAAAUUUUUCCGGAAUUCGUAAUUACACAAGGCGCUAAAAGUUUAAAAGCGCUAGAAGCGAUAAAAGAAUUUUUUAGUUGUGGCAGUAUCGUUCUGAAUAAACGAUACGAUAAUCAUCAUGAACAUCUUUAUCGCUAUUGCGUAAGGUCAAUUUCGGAAUUGCAAAGCACUAUUAUUCCAUUCUUUGAUAGGUUUCCACUCCGAACAUAUAAAAUAAACGACUUUUCUAUUUUUAAGAAAGUUGUUGCGGAUAUGGCGAGAAAGAAACACCUAACAAAAAAUGGAUGGCAGAAGAUUUUAAAAUUUGCAGGCAAAACGAAUCGAAGAAAGAAACGUUUUUAGAAUCCUCAGAGACUAUAUGUUGGGGUCAGCCCUAAAACCGCAGAGCGGUUCGGGUUUAGAUAAGAUAUAGUCCGAACUGCAUAGCGAUAUGCAGAGUUGUCCGGAAAAGGAGCCGGGCAGAAUAACACAAUUAAGCGCAAUUCCUUUUCGGGUAAGUUCCGAAGCGCACGAAAGGCGUAACGAUCAGAGAACUGUCUCAGAGGCAAGCUCGGUGAAAAUGCGAUUCCCGUGAAGACGCGGGAUACCUGCAGCGGGACGAAAAGACCCCGGAAGCUUUACUGCAGCUUGGUAUUGAUUUUAGAGUUUUACUACGUAGCGUAGUGGUGAGGAUUUGAAGCGGUGCUCUCGGGCGCCGUGGAUCCGACAAUGAAACAGCCAUUUUUAAAACUUUAACGUCUAACCAGUGAGAAACCUAACAAUGGAAAUCUCACCGGGACAGUGCUUGGUAGGCAGUUUAAAUGGGGCGUUUUCCUCCAAAAGAGUAACGGAGGAGUUUAUUAAGGUCGGCUUAGCCCGGAUGGAAAUCGGGCAGGACGUGUAAACGCAAAAGCCGGCUUAACUGCGAGACAUACAAGUCGAGCAGAUGCGAAAGCAGAAGUUAGUGACCCGACGAUUCUUCAUAGAAAGAUCGGAGACACCGGAUAAAAGCUACUCCGGGGAUAACAGGCUGGUGAAGUCCGAGAGUUCCUAUCGACGACUUCGCUCGGCACCUCGAUGUCGGCUCGCCACAGCGCGGGGGUGUAGAAGCUCCCAAGCGUUUGGCUGUUCGCCAAUUAAAGUGGCACGUGAGCUGGGUUCAGACCGUCGUGAGACAGGUCGGUCUCUAUCUGUUGCAGGCGUUAAUACUUGAGGGGAGUUGGCCCUAGUACGAGAGGACUGGGCUGAACUGACCUCUGGUCUACCGGCUUUGGUACCAACUGAAGCGCCGGGUAGCUAUGUCGGGAAGGGAUAAGCGCUGAAAGCAUCUAAGCGCGAAGCCUACCCCAAGAUUAGGUAUCAUGUGUUCGUUGAAGACUACGACGUUGAUAGGCUCUAGGUGUAAGGCCCGCAAGGGUUUAAGCCAAGGAGUACUAAUACACGCCAACCAUCC
rnacentral:rRNA from 1 species